GCCCGAGUGGCGGAAUGGCAGACGCGACGGACUCAAAAUCCGUUGUCCGAAAGGGCGUGUGGGUUCGAGUCCCACCUCGGGCA
rnacentral:tRNA from 1 species